rnacentral:rRNA from 1 species
UACGUAGGGUGCAAGCGUUUGUCCGGAAUUACUGGGCGUAAAGAGUUCGUAGGCGGUUUGUCGCGUCGAAUGUGAAAACCCCAGGCUCAACUUGGGAACUGCAUCCGAUACUGGAUGGCUUGAAUUCGGGAGAGGGAUGCAGAAUUCCAGGUGUAGCGGUGAAAUGCGUAGAUAUCUGGAGGAAUACCGGUGGCGAAGGCGGCGCUCUGGACCGAGACUGACGCUGAGGCGCGAAAGCGUGGGGAGCAAACAGG